GACGAACGCUGGCGGCGUGCUUAACACAUGCAAGUCGAACGGAAAGGCCCUGCUUUUGUGGGGUGCUCGAGUGGCGACCGGGUGAGUAACCCGUGAGUAACCUGUCCUUGACUUUGGGUUAACUUAAGGCAAAUGGGGCUCAUCCCGGAUAGGAGCUCCUGCUGCUUGGUGGGGGUUGGUAAGUUUCGGCGGUUGGGGAUGGAAUCGCGGCUUCUCAGCUUGUUGGUGGGGUUGGGCCUUGCCAAGGCUUUGACGGGUAGCGUGCCUGAGAGGGUGACCGGCCACAUUGGGAUUGAGAUACGGCCCAGACUCCUACGGGAGGCAGCAGUGGGGAAUAGUGCACAAUGGGCGGAAGCCUAAUGCAGCAACGCCGCGUGCGGGAUGACAGCCUGCUGGUUGUAAACCGCUAUCGUCUGUGACGAAGCGUGAGUGACGGUAAUGGGUAAAGAAGCACCGGCUAACUACGUG
rnacentral:rRNA from 1 species